rnacentral:rRNA from 1 species
UAUUGGUCAAUGGACGCGAGUCUGAACCAGCCAAGUAGCGUGAAGGAUGACUGCCCUAUGGGUGGUAAACUUCUUUUAUAUGGGAAUANNGUUUUCCACGUGUGGAAUUUUGUAUGUACCAUAUGAAUAAGGAUCGGCUAACUCCGUGUCAGACGCCGCGGUAAUACGGAGGAUUCGAGCGUUAUCCGGAUUUAUUGGGUUUAAAGGGAGCGUAGGUGGACAGUUAAGUCAGUUGUGAAAGUUUGCGGCUCAACCGUAAAAUUGCAGUUGAUACUGGCUGUCUUGAGUACAGUAGAGGUGGGCGGAAUUCGUGGUGUAGCGGUGAAAUGCUUAGAUAUCACGAAGAACUCCGAUUGCGAAGGCAGCUCACUGGACUGUUAACUGACACUGAGGCUCGAAAGUGUGGGUAUCAAACAG